UACGAAGGGUGCAAGCGUUACUCGGAAUUACUGGGCGUAAAGCGUGCGUAGGCGGUUCGUUAAGUCUGUCGUGAAAGCCCUGGGCUCAACCUGGGAAUUGCGAUGGAUACUGGCGAGCUAGAGUACGGUAGAGGAUGGUGGAAUUCCCGGUGUAGCGGUGAAAUGCGUAGAGAUCGGGAGGAACACCCGUGGCGAAGGCGGCCAUCUGGACCAGUACUGACGCUGAGGCGCGAAAGCCUGGGGAGCAAACGGG
rnacentral:rRNA from 1 species